GCCAGGCACAGUGGUGCAUGCCUGUAAUCCCAGCUACUCAGGAGACUGAGGCAGGAGGAUUGCAGGUUCGAGGCUAGCUUCGGGCAACUUAAUGAGAUCCUUUCUCAA
rnacentral:sRNA from 1 species